rnacentral:rRNA from 1 species
CUAGAGCUAAAACUGGUAUCGCGGAUGAUUCGUAAAUUCUGAUUCUAGCCAGGCGAGGCUUCCCGACGCUCGCAUGAGAACGAAGCUGGGAGCGACGAUAGAACCGUAGUCCAGCCGUAAACUAUGCGCGUUAGUGUGCUGUACUACGAGUACCGGGGUGCCGAAGUGAAAACGUGAAACGUGCCGCCUGGGAAGUACGGUCGCAAGGCUGAAACUAAAGGAAUGGCGGGGGAGCACCACAACGGGUGGAGCCUGCGGUUUAAUUGGACUCAACGCCGGGCAGCUCACCGGAUAGGACAGCGGAAUGAUAGCCGGGCUGAAGACCUUGCUUGACCAGCUGAGAGGAGGUGCAUGGCCGUCGUCAAAAUCAAAACUGUGAAGCAUCCUGUUUAGUCAGGCAACGAGCGAGACCCACGCCAACAGUUGGGGAGGGAUCUUCUCCGGAAUGAUGAGAAAAACAGAUAGGGACCGCCUCUGCUAAAGAGGAGGAAAAAAUGUUAUUGUUAAAAAUCAGCAUGCCCCGAAUUAUCCGGGCUACACGCGGGCUACAAUGGUCAGGACAAUGGGAAACAAAAACAGAAAAGUGUAGUCAAUCUCCUAAACCUGUCCCAAGUUCGGAUUGUGGGCUGCAACUCGCCCACAUGAAGCUGGAAUCCGUAGUAAUCGCGUUUCAAAAUAGCGCGGUAAAUAAGUCCCUGCUCCUUGCACACACCGUAAUCGGUCCCGGGCCCGUCGACUUGAGAGGCUUACGGGCAAGUUACCCUGAAGUGAGUCGUAUAGAGCUGGCGUG